GUGUCAGCAGCCGCGGUAAUACGGAGGAUGCGAGCGUUAUCCGGAUUCACUGGGUUUAAAGGGUGCGUAGGCGGAUCAGUAAGUCAGGGGUGAAAUCUUACGGCUUAACCGUAAAAUUGCCUUUGAUACUGCUGGUCUUGAGUGCAGUUGAGGUGGGUGGAAUGUGUAAUGUAGCGGUGAAAUGCUUAGAUAUUACACAGAACACCGAUUGCGAAGGCAGCUCACUAAACUGCAACUGACGCUGAGGCACGAAAGCGUGGGGAGCAAACAGGAUUAGAUACCCUGGUAGUCCACGCCCUAAACGGUGGGCACUAGGUGUGGGGCCUUUAAUGGUUCCGUGCCGAAGGGAAACCAAUAAGUGCCCCGCCUGGGAAGUACGGCCGCAAGGUUAAAACUUAAAUGAAUUGACGGGG
rnacentral:rRNA from 1 species